CAAGGCAGCCUGCUCAGCCCCUGGAAGGAGUUCAGUGCCUUCACUGUUGGCUGUGAGGUUUACGUGAUGGAGGGAAGAGACUCCAAGAAUGGUGUCUGAAAGGAUGCCUGGUGUCUGAUGCUGCCCCUCAGGAGUGGUCCAAGGUGGUUCAAAUACUGCCUGCUUUGGCCAUGGCUGACAGAGCUGAAGAACUGCCUCUAUAUGGUGUGUGGACACACACCCCAGGCAGCCACUUGCCGGCUUCCCUCUGUUUCCUUGAAGGAAGUGGAGUAGCAUGGCCCUGGGGCUAACAAGUGAACAAUAGUGCCUGCCUUAAAUCAUACCCAGCCUUUCAGACCCAGGUCAAGUGUUUUCUCUUUUGGAAAAUCAUCCAUU
rnacentral:lncRNA from 1 species